rnacentral:rRNA from 1 species
CCUACGGGAGGCAGCAGUGGGGAAUAUUGGACAAUGGGGGCAACCCUGAUCCAGCAAUGCCGCGUGAGUGAUGAAGGCCUUCGGGUUGUAAAGCUCUUUUGCUAGGGACGCGGUACCUAGAGAAUAAGCCCCGGCUAACUUCGUGCCAGCAGCCGCGGUAAUACGAAGGGGGCUAGCGUUGUUCGGAAUUACUGGGCGUAAAGGGCGCGUAGGCGGUUUGAUUAGUCAGAUGUGAAAUUCCCGGGCUUAACCUGGGCGCUGCAUUUGAUACUGUCAGGCUUGAAUCCGGGAGAGGAUAGCGGAAUUCCCAGUGUAGAGGUGAAAUUCGUAGAUAUUGGGAAGAACACCAGUGGCGAAGGCGGCUAUCUGGACCGGAUUGACGCUGAGGCGCGAAAGCGUGGGGAGCAAACAGGAUUAGAUACCCUUGUAGUC